CGCUGUCGGUCUCACUCGGUUGUCAACGGACGCCUCACUCAGUUUAAAUUUGACAGUUUGAUUGACCAGCAGCGUUUCUUUUCAAGUGCUGAAUACCCGAUUAUAGCAGAGAGAGCUCUAAAAAUGUUGGUACCGUUUGCUACUACAUACAGGUGUGAGAGUGGUUUCUCAACGUUGGUGGUACUAAAAACAAAGGCUAGAAAUCGCCUCAACGUGGAAUAUGAUUUAAGAUGCGCCUUAAGUGAAACAAAGCCUGAUAUUCCAAAACUUGUUAAUGCGAAGCAGUGCCAACCUUCGCAUUAAAAAUCUUACAUUCAUAUGCUUUUACGCAUGAAUUAAUGAUGAAAAGAAUACAUAGUUAGAUGUAAUGUGUUUCUAAGAACACAGUCAAUAUUUUUGUGCAAUUAGUUGUUUGGUAAAGUUAAUAGUUAUAUAUGUGACAUUUCAGUUAAUGUUAAAUAAAAUUAGUACCUAAUAUAACAAUAUAACAAACGUA